rnacentral:lncRNA from 1 species
UACAAACUUUAAAAAAAGAAAAAAAAAGAAAAAAAAAAGAAACAUAAGUCUUUGUAGAAGGAAAGAAAGUUUUAUAACUUCUUUGCUUAGUGUUGGCCUUAAGGUAUUACAUAUUUCUUUGACUUGUAUAAUUUAUUUUUAUUAAUUAUUUGCCUUUAAUUACUUGUAUUAUGAUUUGGGUAAUAUACGUGUGUUUGUAAUGCUGUGAUGAUAUGAACAGUCUGCAUUCUUUGCUUCAAAUCGUUUUCUUUAUUUAGAAUCACAUGAAUAUGUUUACAAAUCAUGAAACUAGACAUCCUAAGCUUUCCAUUAAUAGGUUUUGUGUUGAAAUCCUCUAAGUAUGCAAAUUGUUAUGAUUUUUCGAAAUUGGGUUACUGGUGCUGGAAAAUUCCGAUUUUCAGCAGCAGUUCUCACUUCUGGAAAUUUUUUUCCGUAAGGUUACACAUCUUUAAAAAUUAUUACAA